GAGCUGCAGGAGCCAUUCAUGAUUGCAGAUAGAUUGCUGUUCCUAUCAAAAGGAUCCACAAGGUAACAACCACCCAUGCACUCUUCUUCCAUUCAUUUGGCGGUCGCAAGAAAGAGAGGUCUCCAAAGAUGUUUGGAGAAGGUUGAACUUGGUUGCUAGCAGCACUCAUCUUCCUUUUCUUGUCCUCUUGUUCCUUGAUUUUGUCACUCCAUGUUCCAGCAUACCUGAUUCACAUAACAAGUAUCAUGAUAUAGGUAAGAUAUUAAUGAGAUUGUGAAUAUCUCUACAUUGCUUGAAAUGAAAUCACGGGGAUAGGAAAGCAGCAUCAAUCAAAAAAAUGAAAAGGGUUCCAUCGAAGGGCAUGCUUUGCAGCUGUUUAGAAUGAUGGUAACUAUCUCCACUCCAGUUUAAGCAUUUAAAACGAUGUAUAGUAGCUAAAGAAUGAUGUAUGACAGCUAAAGAAUUAUGCACAGUAGCUAAAUCAGGGGGUAAGAACAGGUCAUAGGUUCUAGGAUUUAUAUAUAGUUGCUAAAGGGUGAUGUCAACAAAGAUAAUCAGGUAGUUGUAUCUUCUCUAUGGAAAGAUGUGUAAAGAAACAAUGAAAAAACUAGAGAUUUUUACAAGCUGAAGGGUUCACCAUUCAGCUUCAGUCAAAAAGAGAAUGAUAUAGGAAUAAACACCAUACGAGUGAGAUUUCAAGCAGAUCACAAGCGCCAUACAGGCAAAAAUAUACAGAAAAUAAAUUCCAGAGCCAUAUGGCAUAAGGCACCAACUAAUUUAUGCUCACGCGCACAGAAAGUAAAUUCCAGAGCCAAAUGGCAUAGAGACAGGGAAGGGAAUUAGCAGAGUCUCGAAUAGAUAACUAACCAAUCCCAGCUGCUCCCAAUUUGUGGUAUUGUGACCACCUCGUCAUUUGAUAUCUUCAACUUGGGUGCCUCUAAAAUGUAUCUAAGCUCAGCUGCCUGGCGCCUGAUGUUGAUCAUGGGGUGGCUACUCUCCAACUCUUUGUACAAUGCAAUGCAAUCCUUGUGCCUCCUAUUGGCUUCAUAUGCCAUUGCAAGCCAAAUUUGGAUCUAGAAGAAGAUACACGCUAUAUAUCACAAAGAUGUCUACAGGAUUUUAGCCAUAGACUACAUCACAAAGAUACCUACAGAAUUCAACUCACUCAAAAGACAUUAUUUGGCAUGAAAACUACUGAAAUCUCAACUGCAGAGAUACUACCUCGCCACCGAGUAGAGAGGAGGGACGUAUGAUAGUGAGCGCAGCCUCCAAGAAUUCAAUUGAUCGUCCAUACAUUCCUUUCCCGUACGCCUUUUGACCCAACUCAAACAUUUGCUUCGCCGUCUCCCUCCUCUC
rnacentral:lncRNA from 1 species